ACGAUUAACCCAUCUUCGGAUGGUUAUAGAGUGGCGAACGGGUGAGUAACACGUGACCAACCUACCUUCUACUUUGGGAUAACUCAGAGAAAUCUGAGCUAAUACCGAAUAUUCCGUAACCUUCGCAUGUUGGUUUCGGGAAAGCUCCGGCGGUAGAAGAUGGGGUCGCGGCCUAUUAGAUAGUUGGUGGGGUAAUGGCCUACCAAGUCAGCGAUAGGUAGCCGGGUUGAGAGACUGAUCGGCCACAUUGGGACUGAGAUACGGCCCAGACUCCUACGGGAGGCAGCAGUGGGGAAUUUUGCGCAAUGGGCGAAAGCCUGACGCAGCAACGCCGCGUGCGGGAUGACGGCCUUCGGGUUGUAAACCGCUUUCAGCAGGGAAGAAAUUGACGGUACCUGCAGAAGAAGCUCCGGCUAACUACGUGCCAGCAGCCGCGGUAAUACGUAGGGAGCAAGCGUUAUCCGGAUUUAUUGGGCGUAAAGCGCGCGUAGGCGGUUUGUUAAGCGGAAUCUCUAAUCUGAGGGCUCAACCCCCAGCCGGAUUCCGAACUGGCAGACUCGAGUUUGGUAGAGGAAGAUGGAAUUCCCAGUGUAGCGGUGAAAUGCGCAGAUAUUGGGAAGAACACCAAUGGCGAAG
rnacentral:rRNA from 1 species